rnacentral:rRNA from 1 species
UAGGGAAUCUUCGGCAAUGGACGGAAGUCUGACCGAGCAACGCCGCGUGAGUGAAGAAGGUUUUCGGUUCGUAAAGCUCUGUUGUUAGAGAAGAACGUUGGUAGGAGCGGAAAAUCUACCAAGUGACGGUAACUAACCAGAAAGGGACGGCUAACUACGUGCCAGCAGCCGCGGUAAUACGUAGGUCCCGAGCGUUGUCCGGAUUUAUUGGGCGUAAAGCGAGCGCAGGCGGUUCUUUAAGUCUGAAGUUAAAGGCAGUGGCUUAACCAUUGUACGCUUUGGAAACUGGAGGACUUGAGUGCGGAAGGGGAGAGUGGAAUUCCAUGUGGAGCGGUGAAAUGCGUAGAUAGAUGGAGGAACACCGGUGGCGAAUGCGGCUCUCUGGUCUGUAACUGACGCUGAGGCUCGAAAGCGUGGGGAGCAAACAGG